rnacentral:rRNA from 1 species
AUUGAACGCUGGCGGCAGGCCUAACACAUGCAAGUCGAGCGGCAGCGGGAAAGUAGCUUGCUACUUUUGCCGGCGAGCGGCGGACGGGUGAGUAAUGCCUGGGAAAUUGCCCAGUCGAGGGGGAUAACAGUUGGAAACGACUGCUAAUACCGCAUACGCCCUACGGGGGAAAGCAGGGGACCUUCGGGCCUUGCGCGAUUGGAUAUGCCCAGGUGGGAUUAGCUAGUUGGUGAGGUAAUGGCUAACCAAGGCGACGAUCCCUAGCUGGUCUGAGAGGAUGAUCAGCCACACUGGAACUGAGACACGGUCCAGACUCCUACGGGAGGCAGCAGUGGGGAAUAUUGCACAAUGGGGGAAACCCUGAUGCAGCCAUGCCGCGUGUGUGAAGAAGGCCUUCGGGUUGUAAAGCACUUUCAGCGAGGAGGAAAGGUUGUUGGCUAAUAUCCAACAGCUGUGACGUUACUCGCAGAAGAGGCACCGGCUAACUCCGUGCCAGCCGCCGCCGUAACAC